GGGUGCAAAACCUUCGCCGAGAGGAGUCGACCUCAGCUGUUGCUGCUGCACGCAGCAUCUAUAUGUCACGGAUCCUUGGUAGUGCGACUCGGAUCACUCGACCGAGAGUAUCUCUCCGUCUUGAUCGUUAAGAAGGAAAAAUCGUCGCGUGGAAUAACAAUGGCCACGGCGGUGGACUAUGCAGGAGAGACUGGGAGACUGGAGAUUGAAAGGAUCAGUGCUGACACGAAGAUGUUCAACUGCAUAGGCAGAAAAAAUACCUGAGAUAUGGUAAAUAUUUAUUCGAGAUUAUCUGUUGAGUGCAAGAGGAAAAUUUCAUGAAUCAGCCUUCCACAUUUCGAGAGAUACGUACUGCAAAUGACUAAGAGAGAGAAGACGAAAAUGACGCCGAACCAUAGUAUUAUGUUGAAGAUGACGGGAUAGUCCUCCGUGUAAGUUUUCGCGCGGCCGGAAAAUUCGGGCUGAAACAAAAGACAUAUAAUAGACAGUCGGACGCAAUCCUUGAAUCCUACGAGUUUCAAUCUUGCCAAUGUCUUUCUGGUACUCGCUCGCUAACUAAUAGCACUCUACACUUCUUAACACUUCGCGAAUGAAUCACGUGUGAUAAAUUGAUUUUUCUGUCCUCUACAAAACUACUUUUUUUAUAGAGAAAGAAAGAGAAAAAAAAGAGAAAGAAAGAGAGGGAGAAAUAAAUUUACAUACAUUUCUUAUUAAUCAGUACAAGAUACAUAUUCAUCAUUUUAAUCGGUUGUUUUGUUUCAUAUUCUGCAGAAGAGGAAAACAUGACAUAAAAUUCGUGAGAAAUAAUAAGUAGCGACAAGCAAUGAAUUUUUAAUUCGCAAGUUGUCAAAGAAUAGGCUACGGUUUUUCGACAUUAUUUUUCAACUUUUCUAUCGCAGCCUGCAAUAUCCAUAACGCUUUGCUGUACAAUUUUGUAAUAAUGCAAUUUUCUUCGCGAAGUGUUAAUACAUAAGAAUAUCAAAGCUUUCGUAAUUAAUAUAUGAAACGGUUUCAAGGAUUCGCAACUGGUUAACAGGAUCUGACUUCGAUACACGCUAAACAAUUAAUCGGCUAAUUAAAUCUUCCUUAAUAAAAACUUUCCCUAACAAAAAAUUGAAGAAGUAAAGACUGUAGACUUGUAGAUUUAUUAUCGUAAAAACAUGUGCAUGCAAUUGAACACAACAAGACCAACAUGCAAGAUCGUGAUUUUGCACCUAAGAAGAAAAGUGAGAGAAUAGUCUAUUUUCUCUGUUUUUACAUAUUCACGUAGAAUGUUAAUUAGAUUUCUGCGGGAAAGAAAUAAUUGUUCAGAGGUCGUGUGUUAAUUUGGGCUUCUCAGGCGCAAGAUCGUCGGCAAAACCAAUUGUCUAAAAAUCGCGGUUUAAUUGCACGAAUAACUAUUAAUUAAGCAUCAUUCGCAUGAGCAGUAAUUUUUUAGUGCUGAUCAGCGGGCGGCAAUUUCAAUGCAAAGAAAAAUCACACGAACUGAAACAAAAAUCACUACUGCGGGAUUGAAGCCGAACGAGAAUUGAAUGAGUGUAGGAAGAUUCUCAGUUAAUGUUGUUCGGCUACUGAAAAGUACGCUUCGUAAAACACUAAAUAAAUCGUUUAUCCUGCUAGGAACUCAGGCGCUCUAAUACUCCGGCAAGGUCUGGCAGAAAACGAAAACAAUGGAAGAGUCCAGGGGAAGGAGACUUGACGAAAUAUUUAUCGCUCGAUACGUAAUCUUGUUUUUUCCCCUUUUCUUUUUUUCUUUGUUAAAGUUUGUUCGUAUACUUCAGUCUGUACACCCGACAGUACGCACACCUCGCACCACACUUAUUUGUCUUUGUUACGACAUAUUCUGUAAACUGCGGCUUCACUGAGUGUUGUUUUCUCUUCUUUUCUGUCCGACGUUCGAAAAUCAAUUCGCCCUCAUCUCUCAGUAUGUCACGUUUAUUCGUGCAUUACAA